rnacentral:RNase_P_RNA from 1 species
GGAGCGGGUCGGAUGAUCGCCGAGGCGCAAGCCUUGGAGGAAAGUCCGGACUCCAUCGGGCAGGAUGCUGGCUAACGGCCAGGCGCGAUAAGGCGUGUUUGGUGGGGGGUGCCCCACUCGGCCGCCGAAGGCGACGGACAGUGGCACAGAAAACAAACCGCCUCGGCCGGCGACAGCGGGUCGGGGUAAGGGUGAAAAGGUGGGGUAAAAGCCCACCGCGCGGCUGGUGACAGACGUGGCAGGCCAAACCCCAUCCGGAGCAACAUCAUGUAGGCACGCGACGCGGCCCAGGGCCGCACAGGGCGCCCGCCCGAGCGUGCGGGUGGAUGGCUAGAGCCGGUCGGUAACGGCCGGCCCAGAGGAAUGAUCAUCGCGUCCCCUUUCGGGGCGGACAGAAUCCGGCUUACAGACCCGCUCCCUUC